ACCUCCAUCCCAAGGGAGUUAUGAUACUUCAUCUAGUUCGGGGGGAGCGACGACCUUGGAAUCAGUUAAGGAGGAUUUGCGAAAAUUAAAGAAAAAGGUGAACAAUAUUGGGAGAAAAGUUGAGUCAGGCAUCAAGAAGUUUGAAUUAAGUAUCAAAAGAUUGAUGGAUAAGAUGGGGUGUCGACAUGAUGAUAUUUGGGAACCUACUCCAUCUUCUGCCUCGUAUCAGCGGUCAUCUUCACGACAUCCUCUCAUUCCACCAUCUAGUAAUGCUCUUGAGGCUGGGGGUUUUGGAGCUGGUGCUGGAGAUGAUGAUGAUGGUGACGAGGACACGGAGUGAUUUCUUCGUCGAGCUUAGUCUCUUUCUUUCACUACAUUUGUUGUUUAGGACCAUGUUUUAGAUUUGCUUGCUUAUCUUUCUGUAGUAUGUUUUUACUUUCGUUUUAGGCCUGUAACUAUGACUAGACUACUUUUGUACUUUCUAGUAUGUUUUCUCUCUCUAUUUGUUUUAUUUUGGCAAUUUUUGACAAAAAGGGGGAGAGCGUAGAUGAAGAGAGAGAGCGUGGAUGAACAGGCAAGCAUGGAUGAACAAGCAUUGAACUAAAGCAGAGGAUGAUAAGGUCAAAAACAAAGGUAGAGAUAUGAACAAAGGGGGAGAAGGAAAUCAAGACUUCAAGACUCCUAGUUGCGUCUAAGUCAUAGAGUCUGUUUUAGGAGUUUUUAAUGUAAUUUUGAUUCUCAAUUUGUAUUUGGACUACAUGGGAGGGAUUCAAUGUUUUGGUGAUGACAUUGAACUUCGUUUUUUUCUUUAAAUUGUAAUUUGUGAGUUUGUGUGUGUUUUGUCACGAAAUUGCCAAAGGGGAAGAUUGUUAGGUCCUAUGUGUUAGCAAGUUUCGUGGGUCGAGUCGGAGUCUUGAAGAAGUCCGGAGCGUAGUAUUGAAGAUCGAAAAAUCCAAGACUUCGAAGAAUUGGAAAGGACGCAAAACACGCAAAACAUGAAUCACGAUGCUUAGGUAAGCUUUAAAUCUUGUUUAUGGUGAUUCAUACUUAAUUAUAGAUUUUAGAAUCAUGUUUUCAAGUUGUAAUUGAUUAGAAAGUUUCUAAGAGCUUGUAAAACCUAAUAUGCAUGUAUUUUCGGGAUUUUUCAAAAAGUUUAAUUUUUGCUGAAAUUUUUUGCAUGAUCUAGUUAGAAAUAGCAUUUGUAUGCAUUCUAAUGUUAUUAGAAAUUUUUUCGCUAUUUUUACAGAUUUUUUCAAAAAUUUUGUUCAUGUAUGCAAUUUUUUUGAUAUAGGAAAAUGACGUUUUUACUCGUAUUGGUGUUGUUGGUGCUAAUGGCUGGGAGACGGAGCCGUGGUGGUGGUAGGGGUCGUCAUGGGGUUUCUAAAAGGACACGCACAACUGAAGAAGCAUCCGGGUCUGAUCCGGAUUAUCAGGCGAGCUCCCCAGAAGAACUUGAAGAACCUAUUGCUCGACUUGACAAAGGCAAAGGAAUAGCUGGCGAAUCAUCUCAUGGUGGUGGUUCUCGUACUCGUGAGGGACGUACAAAACAAGUUGCAGAUGUCCCUCCAGCACGGCAAAGGUUGUUUGCGUCGAAGUCGUGCAUAGCUGAACGCUUUGUGAACUUUAAUGACCUGGUUCGGGAUGUUCCUGAUUUUGGUCGACUGCUACAGCGUACACCUAUUGAGCCAGUUGGACGGGUCCCGGCCAAGGCUCCUUUCUAUGUAGAACUCAUUCGGGAGUUCUAUAUGAAUGGAAAGGUACUUGCUGAAGAUGAUGAAACAGGCACUUUUAUUUUUGAGACUAUUGUGCGAAAGAAGAGAUUCCCAGUUACCCCCUAGAGCUUGGGAAUGCAUGUGGACACUACAGGUCUUCUCUAUACGUCAGGAGGAUUCCAAGCAUCAACUCACAUGGAUAUCAUUCUUGGAGCUAUAUGCAAAGCCGGUGUUUACAUGACUCAUGGUUACAUUGAAUCCAAGGAUUUAUUACCUGAGUAUCACUUGCUAUCCUUGGUUAUGAGCUAUAAUGUUCAACCCACCAUUGGCACAAAGAGGAUCCGUUGGGAGAGAUUAGUGUUGCUAUAUCUUCUUGGUCAUCCCGAACAGGCUCAUGGAUUGAACAUCAACAUUCCAUUUCUGAUCUGGCAAAGGAUGAUACACGUGAUUCAGGGUGCCACUCGACAGGAUCUACUUCCAUUCCCUGUUAUGAUUACAAGGAUUCUUCAAGCAAAUGGAGUAGAUACAUCUUGUGACAAGUAUGAUGUUGGCCUUGGGCCUAUUGACUCAGUGACUUGGGCUAAGUCGGUUAGCACUCUCAAGUCAUUCCAUAAGACCAAAGGGCCACCUCCUAAAGCAUCUAGCCCAGCACCUCCACCAAGAGCAGCUUCUAGCUCUGCUCCUCCACCUCCAUCCCAAGGGAGUUAUGAUACUUCAUCUAGUUCGGGGGGAGCGACGACCUUGGAAUCAGUUAAGGAGGAUUUGCGAAAAUUAAAGAAAAAGUUGAACAAUAUUGGGAGAAAAGUUGAGUCAGGCAUCAAGAAGUUUGAAUUAAGUAUCAAAAGAUUGAUGGAUAAGAUGGGGUGUCGACAUGAUGAUAUUUGGGAA
rnacentral:lncRNA from 1 species